UGAGACAGCCAAAGGUUGCUGCUGAAAUUGACAAAGAGCUUGGAAAGUUUCAUGAAGUGGAGAUACCGGAUUCCAAAGAACCUUUACUUGCAGUCUCUACUCUUAGGUCUGAGGAACCUGAUAGGCCAGAAGUUCUUUGAGACAAUUUCGUUUGAAGAACUGCGUAAAGAAAUUAUUGAGCCAAGGGAAUUCACAGGCGUACAAUUUGCUUUUGGUAAACUUUAUGCUCAAUGAGGAAGAAGACCUUGAUAUUGUCCUCAACAAGAGAAGCUGGCUUCACAAACCAAGAAGACAUUCCAAGCUAUAGGAUUACAAGCCGAUAUGCAGACAUCUGGAAGCUAGAGCAUGAGGACCAUGCUGUGUCUUCGAAACCUGGUCGUGUCUGUGACAUGAUAAAAGGAGAAAUCUACGUACCCGAGCUAAUAAAGUACUGAAUCUUGAUGAAUCAUAUGAAAUGCUGAGCAGAAGGUUCAAGGACCAAUUCUAUGAUGUUUACAGAUAUCUUCCGCCUGAUCUUUCAGGGGUCAUCUCACUCUUCACCGGUCACGUUGCCUGCAUCUCGAUUGGCAUUCUCAGCAACUGAGCAAACGGAGCUUACUGGUACCUCUCUAAUUGCAGCUUCAGCUAAAACAGUGAUACAUGCCGUCGGGUACUAAUUGAUAUACGGAAGUCAAAAUAUUCGAAGUUCUUCUAUGAAUGCAGUGAAAGAGGAAGGAACUUCCCACGAGCACACAUAUCUAAUGGGUAUUUGCUGAUUGCAGCUGGCGGAGGUCUGAACCAGCAAAUAACAGGAGUCUGCUUGGUUUCUGCAACUCUUCCUCACGAAAUUUUGUUGCUGUUGAGGAAUGGAAUUUUGAUACACUCAAACAAUUGUCUUCUGCUAUACAAAACCAAAGCUUCCAGCACUGCUCUAUAUUUGGGAUCUGUCUGUGAGCUAGUAUUUUUUUAUUCCAGAAAUUGACUUUUAUGCUGAAUGGGGCUUUUGAAAUCAAGUACCCAAGGCAAGAAGUUUCAAAGGGCGGGAAUUGAUUCAAGGCAAGCAGGCGUGAGCCAUGCACAGAGAAUAGAAGAGGGCCUUAGAUAUUUGUGUGAAUACUAUGACCGACCGGAGGGCCGAGGCUGGGGACAUGAAGCUUUCUUUUUCUACGACAAUGUGCAGAUGGACGAAUGGUACGGAGGAAAAGAGCUUAGUGCGAAAAUGGGAGUGCAGUUUUAUCACCUGUAGAGUUAUCAGGCGGCAUGCAACGAGUUGGUUUCCAAUACUAAUCGAGAGCUCUAACUAAGAAGCUUGUGGCGGAGCACAAAACGAGCCGGAAGAAAACUAAGCGGGCGUUGAAGACGUAGUAAGGGGUUUUGAAUGGGGUUUUGGA